rnacentral:rRNA from 1 species
UUAAAAAGCUCGUAGUCGGAUUUCAGUAUUAGGCCCUUCUUCCAAUACGGUUGCUAGUGGUCUUUACUUCCUUAACAGAAUCUUUCAUCUCAUUAAUUUGGGGUGUUUGGGGCCUGCCUCUUUUACUUUGAGAAAAUUAGAGUGUUCAAAGCGGGUUUUCGCCUGGAUAUUACUCUUGGAAUAAUAAUAUAGGACUUUGGUUCUUUUUUGUUGGUGACUUAGAACCGAAGUAAUGAUUGAUAGGGACAGUUGGGGUCAUUCGUACUAUGAAGCGAGAGGUGAAAUUCAUGGACCUUUGUAUGACGAACUACUGCGAAAGCAUUUGACUAGGAUGUUCCCGUUGAUCAAGAACGAAAGUUGGGGGAUCGAAGACGAUCAGAUACCGUCGUAGUCUCAACCAUAAACUAUGCCAGCUAGGGAUUGGAGGAAGAUCAUUUUACGUCUCCUUCAGCACCUUAUGAGAAAUCAAAGCAUUUGGGUUCCGGGGGGAGUAUGGUCGCAAGGCUGGAACUUAAAGGAAUUGACGGGAGGGCACCACCAGGAGUGGAGCCUGCGGCUUAAUUUGAUUCAACACGGGA